GCCAUCAAGCUCCAACGGAGGAGUCACGCACGGACGUUUCAGUUUUGCAGUUUCUUGCAUUUCCUCCUUCGUGAUUACAGGCGAUUUAAGCCACCAUUUAACGCACCGUUUCUUCCUACUUAAGCCUCAGAUUCUCCUCUCUAAUUCCCUCCAAACGGCACACGAAGAGAGCCACCAGGCUGCUCGAAUUUAACCUCUCAAGUCUGCGGUACCGACGAGUUCCGAAGACGAUUCCGUCUCCGGCGAGCGAAUUUCGGCGAACUACUGCACCUCGACGUCCGCUACUUCAUCAUCGAGUUGGCCUUGCCAAGCUGAGCUUCGUCGUCUGGUACACCAUCGCCAAGAAGCACGAGAACAUGAACGCCAGCGACCACAUCCGACACGGCCAUCAUCGUCUUCGUGAGCACCGUCGCUGAUAGUACGGAGAGUUACGUGUAUUGCUGAGAUAAAGAGAAUGCUCUACAAUUUACCAAAAAGGCAAGUGUCAC